CAUCUGGGGAGUGUACUGCUCUAUUCUGGGAGAGGGGCCAUGCAAAUCUAAGUUUCUGUUUCACAGAGCUCUCUCUCUCUGUCACACACAGUCAUGCACUUACACACCCAAUACUGCUCCACAGAUGUGUUAGCCAGCUGUGUGUGUCUGGUUGACCAACCAAUCACUGUGGCAUACCAACUUUUUUUUAUAGUCUAUGGGACUAUUUCACCUGUAUCUUCCUGAGGACAUUUGCAGACAUUGGAGUUUGGAAGAGUUAUGAAACUAGUUUGUAACCAUUAUUUCUGUGAGUUUGUAAAGUGUUUAUACUUGGUGAUGUCAUAUAACAAGACCUUUAGUUCUGUGUUCAGUGGACCAAUGAUGUGUGUCAUUUUGUACAGGAGGUUUUUGUACGGCUCUAAAUCACUGUGUGAACACACCUCCACUGUGGUAACUCUGACAGUAGUAAACUGCUGCAUCUUCAGCCUGGACUCCACUGAUGGUCAGAGUGAAGUCCGUCUCAGACCCACUGCCACUGAAUCUAGCAGGAAUCCCAUCUAACAGUUUCUUUGCGUAUAUUAUCAGGAGUUUGGGAGCUUCUCCAGGUCUCUGUUGAUACCAGAACACACCCUCAUCUCCAUCAUCCCAUCUGUGCACUUUAGGGUUGGUUGUACAGGUCAGAGUGACAGGGUCUCCUGGAGAAAAUGUCACUACAGGAGGCUGAGUCACAGUCACCUGACCUCUGGAUCCUGAAGAAGAAAAAUAUAAAUUGAUCAACGAGUAUGAAUAAGAUAUGACUUAUAUUUAAUUAUAUUUUAUGAAGGUACAUUUAUGAAUUGAGAUCCAUUUCAAUGAUUAUACAAGGUACUCAACAUGUAUUUUUCCAUUGUAAGAGUUAUAAAACAACAGACCUUUGAGACAGCAGCAGACCAGGGUCCAGAUAAAGAUGGUGAUCAGAGUCAUGGUUGCCGUCGUUUCUGUUGUGUUGAUGGACAGAUCUCAGUCCUGCAGUCUGAAACUCACAGGACUAUAAACACUCCCAGAGCACUGAAGCAUGAGCUGCCAAUGCAAAGCACCUGCUCUAUGGAAACACCCUACCUCAGGACAGAAUAAUAAACUGUAAAUAAUAAUCAUGUGAAAUGCUUUAUAUUUUUGUUGUUGACAGUAAAAUGGCACAAUUGUCAAUAUUGAUAUUUGUCGUAAAUGACAAUGUUUCACUCUGCCCAUAUGCAUUCUGUUAACAUAUGACAUCAUUGGAGUUAAAAACAUCUGGUUGGAGACAUUAAGGAGCUCAAAUCAGAGACUUCAUUAAUCAUAGUAUGCUAUAUAGGUACAUAAUGUGCUUAAUUAUUGUGGUUGUCUCACCAAGCAAUCUUAAGAUGAAUGGACUAAGAUGCUCUGGAUAAGAAUGUCUGCUAAAUGAAUAAAAUGUCAUGUAAUUGUAAAUGAUAAAACAUGAGUAUUGCUUGCUACAAUAUACUGUAGUUGUAUGUGAAGAUGUGUAAUGCUUUAUGAGUAUAGUAAAGUUGUACAACGCUGUGUGGAGCUGUAUGAGUGGUUCUGUUAGUGCAGGGUGUGCUCACUCUUGUGUGAAGGAGGUUUUUGUACGGCGUCUUAACUAGACUGUAUCACUGUGGUUCACGUUCGGUGGAGGGACCAAACUGCUGCUGAGAACUGGUCCUACUGUCAGUCCCACAGUGUCUCUGCUCCCCCCCUCCUCUGAGCAGCUCUCUGGGGGCUCUGCCUCACUGGCCUGCCUGCUGACUGACUACUCCCCUCAGGGGGCGCUGGUGAGCUGGGAGGUGGACGGGCUGGAGGUGAGACAGGGGGUCGUGACCAGUCCAGAAGAAGAGAAGGAAGGCCUUUACAGACGUAGCAGCACCCUGACCCUGAGCAAGGCAGGCUGGGAGCAGGGAGAGCUCUACACCUGCAGGGUCUCCCACUUCCAACACACCCAGGCCUCCCCCCUUCGCAGGAGCCAGUGUCUGGUCUAGGGACUACUGGAGGAGGCCCACAACAGGAGCUCUGUCUGGGGAAGCAGGAGUAGACGAGGCUCUGGUCUGGUCUGGGGCCUGGUUGGAGCAGUAGUAGUGUGUUAGAGUGUUAGAGUAGUGUACUGAGUAAACUCUAGUACUGCUGGGGAGACCACAUCCUGGGUAGUAAUGUGUAUUGUAUAGAUUACAGGAAACUUCAAUGUGUUCUGUACUCAGACUGUUACUGUGAUGUUGCUGUCUGCCUCAGUUCUAAUAAAGUUGAAUUUGGAAAAUAA